CCGAAGUUAAGCAUCAUGGGGCGCGGUCAGUACUUGGGUGGGUGACCACCUGGGAACACUGCGUGCCGUU
rnacentral:rRNA from 1 species